UUACUGUGCUUAAAAUUUUAC
rnacentral:piRNA from 1 species